CGAGGUGGGCGGCUGGCCGGCCGGCCUCAGAGUGGGGCCCGCAGGCGAUAAAGCACUGCUGGAGCCAGGGACAGGUGUCCGUGUUGAAAUAGCUUUGAGGAACGGAAGAGGUGGGAUGAGCUUUCCAGACUUCAGAGAAAAUGGAAACAGAUUUUUCCUCAGACUUGAGAAAGGAGUGGGCUUUGCUAAAAUUAGAUCCAUCUCUCUUAUGGCUUCCUGGGGAGUCACAAGCAUAUUCAGAAAUCCACCCGCCCAUCCACCAGUAUGAAGCUGGAGAGACCAGCUGCUUUUUCUCUUGGAUGCUUUACCAAUGCCUGUUGAAGUCAAUGCAGAGUUCUUGUACUCAGCUGUACUCAAAGAGGAUUUUUGGAUAAAGAUUUGAGUGUGCUAUUAGAAGAAAUGCAGGAUGAGGAAAAGAAGAAGAGAACUGUUCACGCCAAAAUCACAGAUUUGCUCACUCACUCUUGUUCCAGACCAAGCAUCAUCCCCAGA